rnacentral:rRNA from 1 species
AGGACGAACGCUGGCGGCGUGCCUAACACAUGCAAGUGGAGCGACGAACCGGGCUUCGGCCCGGGGCAAAGCCGCGAACGGGUGAGUAACACGUGGGUAACCUGCCCCGAUGAUUGGGACAACCCGAGGAAACUCGGGCUAAUACCGAAUGUGCCCUCCGGCCUCAAGGCCGCUGGGGGAAAGGAAGCUUCGGCCUCCGCAUCGGGAUGGGCCCGCGGCCCAUUAGCUUGUUGGUGAGGUAACGGCUCACCAAGGCGACGAUGGGUAGCUGGUCUGAGAGGACGAUCAGCCACACUGGGACUGAGACACGGCCCAGACUCCUACGGGAGGCAGCAGUGGGGAAUCUUGCGCAAUGCGCGAAACCCUGACGCAGCAACGCCGCGUGGAGGAUGAAGCCCCUUGGGGUGUAAACUCCUUUCGAUCGGGAAGAUAAUGACGGUACCGAUAUAAGAAGCCCCGGCUAACUUCGCGCCAGCAGCCGC